AAGCCAUUGUGCGGGCAAUCUCGCACCAGUCGCUUAAACCUCGCCCAGGUGUCACUGAGCGAUUCAUCGAUAUCUUGUUUAAAAUUAGUAAUCAACUUCCUCAUUUU